GGUGCAGAUGAUGGUAUUAGCGAUCAAAGAAUGACUUGCUGUGAUUAUAACUUAAACCUACUGAUGCACC